rnacentral:rRNA from 1 species
GAAAAUAACUAUGAUUCCCUUAGUAACGGCGAGUGAACAGGGAAAAGCCCAAAUUUGUAAUCUGGCAUCUUUUACAGGUGUCCGAGUUGUAAUUUGUAGAACUGUUAUCCGUGCUGGACCAUGUACAAGUCUGUUGAAAAGCAGCAUCAUUGAAGGUGAAAAUCCUGUAAAUGAUAUGGACUACCAGUGCAUUUGUGAUACGGUUUCUAAGAGUCGAGUUGUUUGGGAAUGCAGCUCAAAGUGGGUGGUAAAUUCCAUCUAAGGCUAAAUAUAAGUGAGAGACCGAUAGCAAACAAGUACCGUGAGGGAAAGAUGAAAAGAACUUUGAAAAUAGAGUUAACAGUACGUGAAAUUGCUGAAAGGGAAACGUUUGAAGUUAGUAUUGUAUUCGUUGGAUCAGCUUCGCAAGGAGUGUAUUCCGAUGAUAAGCAAGUCAACAUCAGUCUAUGAGUGUUGGAGAAGGGUUUUGAGAAUGUAGCAAUUUAAUUGUGUUAUAGCUUGAGACUUGGAUACNACGCUCUUGAUUGAGGAACGCGUAGUAAGCUUUGAGCAGGUUCGAAAGGAUCUCCUUACUAUGGAUGUUGGUGAAAUAACUUUAAGCGACC